rnacentral:tRNA from 12 species
GGUCUUGUGGUCUAGUGGUAUGAUUCUCGCUUCGGGUGCGAGAGGCCCCGCGUUCGAGUCGCGGCAAGACCC